UACGGAGGGUGCAAACGUUGCUCGGAAUCAUUGGGCGUAAAGCGCACGUAGGCGGCCCAGCAAGUCGGGUGUGAAAGCCCUCGGCUUAACCGAGGAAGUGCAUUCGAAACUACUGAGCUUGAAUACUGGAGAGGAUCGCAGAAUUCCCGGUGUAGAGGUGAAAUUCGUAGAUAUCGGGAGGAACACCAGUGGCGAAGGCGGCGAUCUGGAUAGAUAUUGACGCUGAGGUGCGAAAGCGUGGGGAGCAAACAGG
rnacentral:rRNA from 1 species